AUUGAACGCUGGCGGCAGGCCUAACACAUGCAAGUCGAGCGAGCGGCGGACGGGUGAGUAAUGUAUGGGGACUGCCCGAUAGAGGGGGAUAACUACUGGAAAGGUUGGCUAAUACGGCAUACGGUGGGAUAACCAAUUGGGGAUUAGCUAGUAGUUAAGGUAAUGGCUUACCUAGGCGACGAUCCCUAGCUGGUCUGAGAGGAUGAUCAGCCACACUGUGACUGAGACACGGCCCAGACUCCUACGGAGGCAGCAGUGGGGAAUAUUGCACAAUGGGCGCAAGCCUGAUGCAGCCAUGCCGCGUGUAUGAAGAAGGCCCUAGGGUUGUAAAGUACUUUCAGUCGGGAGGCGUUACCGACAGAAGAAGCACCGGCUAACUCCGUGCCAGCAGCCGCGGUAAUAC
rnacentral:rRNA from 1 species